ACGGAAGGCAGCAGUGGGGAAUAUUGGACAAUGGGGGAAACCCUGAUCCAGCGACGCCGCGUGAGUGAAGAAGUAUUUCGGUAUGUAAAGCUCUAUCAGCAGGGAAGAUAAUGACGGUACCUGACUAAGAAGCCCCGGCUAACUACGUGCCAGCAGCCGCGGUAAUACGUAGGGGGCAAGCGUUAUCCGGAUUUACUGGGUGUAAAGGGAGCGUAGACGGCAUGGCAAGUCUGAUGUGAAAACCCGGGGCUCAACCCCGGGACUGCAUUGGAAACUGUCAGGCUAGAGUGCAGGAGAGGUAAGUGGAAUUCCUAGUGUAGCGGUGAAAUGCGUAGAUAUUAGGAGGAACACCAGUGGCGAAGGCGGCUUACUGGACUGUAACUGACGUUGAGGCUCGAAAGCGUGGGGAGCGAACAGGAUUAGAUACCCUGGUA
rnacentral:rRNA from 1 species